CCUACGGGGUGCACCAGUGGGGAAUAUUGGACAAUGGGGGGAACCCUGAUCCAGCCAUGCCGCGUGUGUGAAGAAGGCCUUUUGGUUGUAAAGCACUUUAGGCGAGGAGGAGGCUACCUAGAUUAAUACUUUAGGAUAGUGGACGUUACUCGCGGAAUAAGCACCGGCUAACUCUGUGCCAGCAGCCGCGGUAAUACAGAGGGUGCGAGCGUUAAUCGGAUUUACUGGGCGUAAAGCGUGCGUAGGCGGCCAAUUAAGUCAAAUGUGAAAUCCCCGAGCUUAACUUGGGAAUUGCAUUCGAUACUGGUUGGCUAGAGUAUGGGAGAGGAUGGUAGAAUUCCAGGUGUAGCGGUGAAAUGCGUAGAGAUCUGGAGGAAUACCGAUGGCGAAGGCAGCCAUCUGGCCUAAUACUGACGCUGAGGUAGGAAAGCAUGGGGAGCAAACAGGAUUAGAUACCCCUGUAGUC
rnacentral:rRNA from 1 species